AAGAGACAGCAGCCGCCGCGGGAAUACGAAGGGUGCAAGCGUUACUCGGAAUUACUGGGCGUAAAGCGUGCGUAGGCGGCUUCUUAAGUCGGAUGUGAAAUCCCUGAGCUUAACUUAGGAAUUGCAUUCGAUACUGGGAAGCUAGAGUAUGGGAGAGGAUGGUAGAAUUCCAGGUGUAGCGGUGAAAUGCGUAGAGAUCUGGAGGAAUACCGAUGGCGAAGGCAGCCAUCUGGCCUAAUACUGACGCUGAGGUACGAAAGCAUGGGGAGCAAACAGGAUUAGAUACCCGCGUAGUCCCUGUCUCUUAUAC
rnacentral:rRNA from 1 species